UCCGGCUUAUCACCGGCAGUUUCCUUAGAGUGCCCAGCUUAACCUGAUGGCAACUAAGGACGAGGGUUGCGCUCGUUGCGGGACUUAACCCAACAUCUCACGACACGAGCUGACGACAGCCAUGCAGCACCUGUGUGGUAGCCAGCCAAACUGAAGGAAUCCAUCUCUGGAAACCAAACUACCCAUGUCAAGGCCUGGUAAGGUUCUUCGCGUUGCCUCGAAUUAAACCACAUGCUCCACCGCUUGUGCGGGUCCCCGUCAAUUCCUUUGAGUUUUAACCUUGCGGCCGUACUCCCCAGGCGGAGUGCUUAAUGCGUUAGCGGCGCCACUGAAUCCUAAUGGACCCAACAGCUAGCACUCAUCGUUUACAGCGUGGACUAC
rnacentral:misc_RNA from 1 species